AGCAGCCGCGGUAAUUCCAGCUCCAAUAGCGUAUAUUAAAGUUGUUGCAGUUAAAAAGCUCGUAGUUGAAUUUCGGGAUCAAUUAGUCGGUCGUGCCUCUGGUACGUACUGGUUUUAUUGGUUCCUCCCUUCUGACGAAACAUGAUGUCAUUAAUUUGGUGUCGUGGAGAAUCAGGACUGUUACCUUGAAAAAUUAGAGUGUUUAUAGCAGGCUAACGCUUGAAUACAUUAGCAUGGAAUAAUGAAAUAGGACGUUCGACCCUAUUUUGUUGGUUUCUAGGAUCGACGUAAUGAUUAAUAGGGAUAGUUGGGGGCAUUAGUAUUCAAUUGUCAGAGGUGAAAUUCUUGGAUUUAUUGAAGACUAACUACUGCGAAAGCAUUUGCCAAGGAUGUUUUCAUUAAUCAAGAACGAAAGUUAGGGGAUCGAAGACGAUCAGAUACCGUCGUAGUCUUAACCAUAAACUAUGCCGACUAGGGAUCGGAUGAUGUUAAUUUUUAAUGUACUCAUUCGGCGCCUUAA
rnacentral:sRNA from 1 species